rnacentral:tRNA from 1 species
GGAGAGGUCGGAUAGUCUGGCUUAUUCCACCGCUUUCGAAAAGCGGCAGGCCCUAACGGGUCUCGUGGGUUCAAAUCCCACCCUCUCCG